AUGAACGCUAGCUACAGGCUUAACACAUGCAAGUCGAGGGGCAGCAUGGUCUUAGCUUGCUAAGGCCGAUGGCGACCGGCGCACGGGUGAGUAACACGUAUCCAACCUGCCGUCUACUCUUGGACAGCCUUCUGAAAGGAAGAUUAAUACAAGAUGGCAUCAUGAGUCCGCAUGUUCACAUGAUUAAAGGUAUUCCGGUAGACGAUGGGGAUGCGUUCCAUUAGAUAGUAGGCGGGGUAACGGCCCACCUAGUCUUCGAUGGGUAGGGGUUCUGAGAGGAAGGUCCCCCACAUUGGAACUGAGACACGGUCCAAACUCCUACGGGAGGCAGCAGUGAGGAAUAUUGGUCAAUGGGCGAGAGCCUGAACCAGCCAAGUAGCGUGAAGGAUGACUGCCCUAUGGGUUGUAAACUUCUUUUAUAAAGGAAUAAAGUCGGGUAUGGAUACCCGUUUGCAUGUACUUUAUGAAUAAGGAUCGGCUAACUCCGUGCCAGCAGCCGCGGUAAUACGGAGGAUCCGAGCGUUAUCCGGAUUUAUUGGGUUUAAAGGGAGCGUAGAUGGAUGUUUAAGUCAGUUGUGAAAGUUUGCGGCUCAACCGUAAAAUUGCAGUUGAUACUGGAUAUCUUGAGUGCAGUUGAGGCAGGCGGAAUUCGUGGUGUAGCGGUGAAAUGCUUAGAUAUCACGAAGAACUCCGAUUGCGAAGGCAGCCUGCUAAGCUGCAACUGACAUUGAGGCUCGAAAGUGUGGGUAUCAAACAGGAUUAGAUACCCUGGUAGUCCACACGGUAAACGAUGAAUACUCGCUGUUUGCGAUAUACAGCAAGCGGCCAAGCGAAAGCGUUAAGUAUUCCACCUGGGGAGUACGCCGGCAACGGUGAAACUCAAAGGAAUUGACGGGGGCCCGCACAAGCGGAGGAACAUGUGGUUUAAUUCGAUGAUACGCGAGGAAACUUACCCGGGCUUAAAUUGCAGAUGAAUUACGGUGAAAGCCGUAAGCCGCAAGUCAUCUGUGAAGGUGCUGCAUGGUUGUCGUCAGCUCGUGCCGUGAGGUGUCGGCUUAAGUGCCAUAACGAGCGCAACCCUUGUUGUCAGUUACUAACAGGUUCCGCUGAGGACUCUGACAAGACUGCCAUCGUAAGAUGUGAGGAAGGUGGGGAUGACGUCAAAUCAGCACGGCCCUUACGUCCGGGGCUACACACGUGUUACAAUGGGGGGUACAGAGGGCCGCUACCACGCGAGUGGAUGCCAAUCCCCAAAACCUCUCUCAGUUCGGACUGGAGUCUGCAACCCGACUCCACGAAGCUGGAUUCGCUAGUAAUCGCGCAUCAGCCACGGCGCGGUGAAUACGUUCCCGGGCCUUGUACACACCGCCCGUCAAGCCAUGGGAGCCGGGGGUACCUGAAGUGCGUAACCGCGAGGAGCGCCCUAGGGUAAAACUGGUGACUGGGGCU
rnacentral:rRNA from 1 species